AGACUGGCAGUAGUUUCGCUCAUAUAGUGACUGACUCAGCCUGACUGACUCAAAACAGUCAAUGAAAUCCUAAUUAUUAAACUCUGAAUCAAUUAAAUGCUGUUCUCUCCUGCUUCCCCUGAGGUUUACAAAUAAUGCUCUAGCUUUGACUCGUCCCCUAAUUUUGAGAUUCUUAGUGCUUUUCACAGAAUUGCUAUACAGGAAAGAGCAAAGAAAGCAAGCCAAUUUCUCAGAAAGGAAGAAAAUGUAUUUGGACCAGUGUUUGAAAUAUGAAAGUAUAAAAUACACAGAGCUGCGUAUGCCAGGUUCAAAUCACCGUGAUGAAGGAUCUGCGAUCAUUCAAGCCCUACAGCAGUCACCCUGGCUGUUCCAAGUGAAUUUGUCUUUGGCGCUGCAACCACAACUAGCGAACUUCCAAGUUGCUUAGGCUGUGUGACCUGAGUCAUAGAAUAAUAUAAAAGGACUUUUAUUCAUGCUCUUGUGUUCCCUGUAACGUACUUAUAUGUACAGUAAUGACUAACAAACAAGUGAACGUGUUUGUUGAAGGCAGCUUAAUAGGAAAAUGUGAUUUGUUCUUGGGGGUGUAGCUGUUGCGAUGUUAGAAACAGUGGGAACCAACACUGAUUCAUUAACAUAACAAGGCUUUUUUUCUUCUUAAUUCACACAUUUAUCCUCAGAUGUGGUGCUUUUAAAUAUAAAAUAAUUUUAUGAGACUGAGACAUCAGAUCCAAUUUUGUUAUACACAUCUAUUUCUUGCUGCCAGGACAGGAAAAAAACUGAGUGUUUCUGAGUUUCUUGUGUGUUCCCUUUUAGCAGUGUCUCUGCAGUAGUUCAUGUGUUGCCUAGGUUUGGGGAAAACUAUUUGCAUGAUAAAUCUGUAACAUUUAAAUACAGCUACAAUUAAGAUAAGCUUUAAGUGUUCACUCCACUUUUUCAGAAAAGUUUUGAAAAUAAUAUCACUUCGAUUUCCUUGUUACCUUUACUUGACUGAUUACUUAGGAAAAAAAAAUCGUGACUGCUUUUCAGGUCACCAUCUGAUGUUUAACGGACUGCCAGCACUGCUCAGGCCACAGGCUGAGAAACACCUGUCAGUGACAUUGCUGGAGAUAGAUCCUGGGCCAAGUGGGACUUUGACUGGAUUGAAGAGGCAAUUCAAAUGUUUUCAAAGCAAUUUAAGAAUGCUAAACCAAUUAAAAACUCUUUUUUGUUUUCACUUUUAUCAAUAUAUUAUGGCUACUGACUUGCAAAAAGUCCUCUUUCAUCACUCACGAUCAUUUUCUCAGAAGAUCUUUAAACAGCUUUCAAAAUUGAAUAUUACUCAAAGUUGGCUCUGCAGGAAUUAAAACAGGCUUCCAGGCUGAAUGUCAUCUUUUACCAGCAUGGCUCAGCAUCCUGACAGUUCUGUGUAGCCAUCUUGUAAGAAAUGUGGAACUACUGAGAUACUGAAUUCCUUUCAAAACCCAAAAUAUUUGGACUGCUGGAAGAAAAAAAAAAAAAAAAAAAAAAAAAAAAGGAAAGAAAGAAAAAGAAAAAGAAGAAAGAAAGAAAGAAAGAAAGAAAGAAAGAAAGAAAGAAAGAAAGAAAGAAAGAAAGAAAGAAAGAAAGAAAGAAAGAAAGAAAGAAAGAAAGAAAGAAAGAGGGAAACUAAAGAUUUUUUUAAAAAAAAGAACUUGUGUGGGAGUGAAUGGGAAACUCCGUAUAGAAACAGGAAGUAUCAUGUGGUUGAUUAGGAAACAGGCACAAAGCAUCUGUUUUGGUAGUAUUUUCACUUGUUUGGGGGUAUUUCCAUAGUGAACUGGAAAUUGGCCCUGUACAUAGGUAUUACUUCACUCCUGAGCAAGAGGAAGGCACUAAUUUGGAGUGCAGCGCAGCAGCUGUCAGCAUUACCGCAUAGCAAUACCACACAACAGCUGAAAGCCGGACAUUCAAAACACAACAUCCCAUAGAAACUGAUGAUUGCUGUAGAGCUGCUCUGAACUGCCAUCAAACAUAAACAGCCCUCUGGUUUCUAUAAAAAGAGAAAGCUGUCUUCCAGGCUGCCUUUUCUGACUGGAAUCGCUUCACUUCUGCCUCUAUAAAUGCUACGGUACUGCCCCAUCUGCACUACAAAAACUGUAAGGCAGCAAGGUUUGAACAAGAUGAAAGCACUUUCUGACCCUGUCUGGCAAAGCUCUUUCAGUUGUAGAUUUGAUAAGAGGGAAGUGUAGCCCUUCUCCUUCCACUAACAUUGGCUGGUGGCUGAUUUGAAGUUUCAAGACUUGCGAUGUCAGGGCUGUUUGCUGGUUUGGUUUUGUCACGAGAUUGUUUUUUUUCACAGGAGAUGAGUCCAAAAAUAUGACUGUUUUUCUUGUGAAGUUUUGCCGAGGCUGAACUUGUUCUAGAGCUGAUUGUUAUUCAUCAGGUCUUUGCAGAGUUGUGAGGACGUUAGUGUACCGCCCUCAAUAUGAUGAAGUCAUUUGUAGAGGAAGUCCUGUUAUGGACAAUUUAUUCAUUGCUUUGGAAAACUGUAAGUGGCAUUUCCAGCAGGACCAAUUCCUAUUCCAGAUCUGAGUCUUCCUAUUCAGGCAUUCUUCAGUCAGCUGGGAGGUGGAGUCCAGCUUGGAUAUGCUGAUGAGAGUGGGCAGCACUGAAAACUGAGACAAAAUCCCUGAUAGAAAGGUGUUUUGGAGGUGUUAUGCCCUUACAGAGUUAUAUAGAGAUUGAAAUAAAGGAAAGGUAUGUUUCAAUGGCUGUCAUGGUAAAUCUCCUGGGCAACAUAUUCAUUGAAAUAUGGCACAGUGCAAUUAUUUGGAAGACUCUUUUUGCCACUGGCUUUCUUCUCUCAGGAGAAUGAAACCUGCUAGCUUAAAUGAUUUCAAAUAUCAUAGAAUAAUAGAACAGCCUGGGUUGAAAAGGACCACAGUGAUCAUCAAGUUUCAACACCUCUGCUAUGUGCAGGGUCACCAACCACUAGACAAGACUGACCAGAGCCACAUCCAGCCUGGCCUUGAAUGCCUCCAGGGAUGGGGAAUCCACAACCUCCUUGGGCAAUAUGGUCCAUUGCUAUCUGCUAAGUAGAUCACAUUAAUCUAUGUUUGUCUUGGAUCACAAUGUAACAGUAGUGACAUGGCAUAAAUUAGGUACUUCACUACUCUUUCCAGUAUGACCAUGUCUCUCUAGUACUGGGGAGCCCAGAAUCUGACGACUGAUCUGGAAAGACCACCUCUCUCAACCUGCUGGCAAUACUUUUCAUAAUGCAACCCAGAAUAUCAUCAGCCCUCUUUCCUUCAAGGGCACAUUGCUGGCUUAUGUUCAACUUUGUCCUCAUCUGCCAAGCUGCUUUCCAGAUGGGCAGACCCUAAUUUCUCCUCCAAGUAAUAUUUCUUCCCUAACUUGUUUCUGUAUUUCACUUUGUCUCCUUUCUCAGACCUCUCUUUUCUAUUUGUAAUUGAAAACAGGACUCUGAAAGCUAGUCACCCUCAAAGGAACACUGUUAACUCAGUCAUUUUCAAAAUCAUUUCAAGUGAAAAAAAGCAUUUUUACAUGUUUCAUAAGAUGAGGCAAUGAUAAUAUGAAAACCGUCUCCAGCUCAAGAAGGGUGUCAAGAAAAUGGAGAUACUUCAUUGAAGGGCUAUCAGAAUGGUCGGUUGGUCUACUGCACAGUACCACUGAGGAGAGGCUGAAGAGCUGGCUUUGUUUAAUCUGAUGAAGUUAAAGGCUGUUGAACAGCAGCGUACACCUACCAGUUCUUGGAGAAUUACAAUGACACCAGAGCCAAAAUCUUCUCACUGGUAACAGAAAAUGCAAAAGGGGGUAAUGGCAACAAUAGGAGUGUUCAGCCUGGCCAUUAGGGAAUGAAAUGUUAGUCAUGAGAGUAGUGCAGCCCUGGAACAGGCUUCCUCAAGUCACAGAAGAACAUGUUUCCAAACCUCAGCUAGGCAAGGCCAUGCUGAUCUGCUCCAGUGCUGGUCAUAGGCUGGCCUUUGAUGGGAUGGGAUGGCUGCUCUAAACAGCACCAUAACUCUGAAAAAUGACGUACUUAUCCUCUCAGACUACUUAGUGUAGAGUCUGCCAUGCUCCCCCUCAGCUAGCCAUCCCUUCUGAACUAUAGGUAGGUCUUUUAUCUGGAAGAGGAGGAAUUUUAUUUUCUUUGAAGGGAAGGUAAUCCGAUCUAAACAGUUUUGUUAAUUCUGGGAUUAGUGGAGUAUUUAUGAAUACUUCUACCUCUUUCUUCAAACUGAAUGUACUAUAUGCAAGCAGUGUCCUUUUAGUUUUCACUUCCCUCCAGAACAUUUGUGUGUGCCAAAAGAUAUUCAAACACAGAGCAAUGCUGAGAGCCCAGCAAACAAGUGACCAGCAGAUCAGAACCUGUAGUUUUUGUGGUUAAAACUGCCUUGAAAUUCUGAUGGACCUGUCACAUAAUAGAAAGUGUAGGAGAAAAAAAGUUUGUGUGAAUGCAGACUCUUCCGUCUCUCAGUCGGGCUUCUCCUGUGUCAGCCUGAUUCUAAAUGUAGUAUUGCAGAUGAUGUUACAGUUCAUAUUAAAAGAUAUGUAUAGACCUCCGUUCUUGGUAGGUCGUCCUGUAUUAGAACUUACCUACUCUCAGAUCUACAAGCCAGUGUCUUUGUUUUUAGGUAGGCAAGUAGUAACCUCAGUUUUAGUGGGAUGAUUCACGUCCAUGUGAUGAUGCAUACGUGUGCUUGUAGAGUAAAAGUUCUUUAUUUGUUGUUUCAGUAUUUAUGACUUUUCUCCAGAUUAUUCUCAUGAAAUCUAUGUUCAAGUAAUUGUGUUCUUUUGUUUGUUUUCUGGGAUUGUCCACAGGCAUCUGAUGCCUCCUGUAGGGAGGUGUUUUACAGUUUCCAAUUUCUUCUUACAUAUAAAUCCACGUAUUUUAACUGGGAUGCCUUAAAUGUUUGUUCAGAACAUAGGUUGUAAGCCACAAUCUUGCAUUUGCUGCAAUUACUUUUAACAUACUAGUAAAACUCAUUCUUUUUGUGUAACUAUAUUAAAAGUGGCAACAAUUUUCCAUGUUUUAAUUUGCAGCAGAUAAGUUUAUGGUGCUUUGUUUUAGGCAGACAAUGGAGCUUGUCUUCUUCCGUAAUUAUCUCCAGACAAUGCUGGUUGAACAAUGUGAUAGGCUAAAUGAAAAUGAUAGUGUAUCUCAGGUAAACUAAGCAAUUUUGUUCCAACAUAUUAAAGCCUAAUUACAGUGAAA